rnacentral:rRNA from 1 species
UACGGAGGAUCCAAGCGUUAUCCGGAUUUAUUGGGUUUAAAGGGUGCGUAGGCGGAAUGAUAAGUCAGUGGUGAAAGCCUGCAGCUUAACUGCAGAACUGCCAUUGAUACUGUCAAUCUUGAGUACAUUUGAUGUGGGCGGAAUGUGUCAUGUAGCGGUGAAAUGCUUAGAUAUGACACAGAACACCGAUUGCGAAGGCAGCUCACAAAACUGUAACUGACGCUGAGGCACGAAAGCGUGGGUAUCAAACAGG